UACGUAGGGUGCAAGCGUUAAUCGGAAUUACUGGGCGUAAAGCGUGCGCAGGCGGUUGUGCAAGACAGGUGUGAAAUCCCCGGGCUCAACCUGGGAACUGCAUUUGUGACUGCACAGCUGGAGUGCGGCAGAGGGGGAUGGAAUUCCGCGUGUAGCAGUGAAAUGCGUAGAUAUGCGGAGGAACACCGAUGGCGAAGGCAAUCCCCUGGGCCUGCACUGACGCUCAUGCACGAAAGCGUGGGGAGCAAACAGG
rnacentral:rRNA from 1 species